rnacentral:rRNA from 1 species
UGGGGAAUAUUGGACAAUGGGCGAAAGCCUGAUCCAGCAAUGCCGCGUGAGUGAUGAAGGCCUUAGGGUCGUAAAGCUCUUUUACCAGGGAUGAUAAUGACAGUACCUGGAGAAUAAGCUCCGGCUAACUCCGUGCCAGCAGCCGCGGUAAUACGGAGGGAGCUAGCGUUGUUCGGAAUUACUGGGCGUAAAGCGUACGUAGGCGGUUAUUCAAGUCAGAGGUGAAAGCCCGGGGCUCAACCCCGGAACUGCCUUUGAAACUAGAUAACUAGAGUCUUGGAGAGGUUAGUGGAAUUCCGAGUGUAGAGGUGAAAUUCGUAGAUAUUCGGAAGAACACCAGUGGCGAAGGCGACUAACUGGACAAGUACUGACGCUGAGGUACGAAAGCGUGGGGAGCAAAC